GGACCCGCACAAGUAGUGGAGCAUGUGGUUUAAUUCGAAGAUACGCGCAGAACCUUACCAACACUUGACAUGUUCGUCGCGACUCUAAGAGAUUAGAGUUUUCGGUUCGGCCGGACGAAACACAGGUGCUGCAUGGCUGUCGUCAGCUCGUGUCGUGAGAUGUUGGGUUAAGUCCCGCAACGAGCGCAACCCUCACUUUUAGUUGCCAUCAUUAAGUUGGGCACUCUGAAAGAACUGCCAGUGAUAAGCUGGAGGAAGGUGGGGAUGACGUCAAGUCCUCAUGGCCCUUACGUGUUGGGCUACACACGUGCUACAAUGGCACUUACAAUGGGAAGCAAAGAGGCGACUCCUAGCUAAUCCCAAAAAUGUGUCUCAGUUCGGAUUGUACUCUGUAACUCGAGUGCAUGAAGCUGGAAUUGCUAGUAAUCGC
rnacentral:rRNA from 1 species